UUAGGCUUAAAAAAAAAAUGUUGAAAAUUCGAUUAUAUCAUUUGUGUUCUAUAACUGAACUUGUUAUCAAUAAGAUAUGUACAGUUCCAUGUUACUUUCUACUCUAAGAUACAAUUUAUAUAUUUUUAAGUUAAUAAGAGCCUAAUCUGUGUGAAGGUUUAAUUGCAAAACACAAAAGUACAUUACUACUUUUCUACAAGAAGUUAAAAGCUUUCAGCCUUUAAUUCAUAUUUUAGGUGUGAUAUUAUGUUGUGUUAGCUAAUGUUCAUGUAAACUUGAACAACAAUUUAUGUAAACUUUGUAAAAUGAUCAGCUUCAGAACUAUAGUACUUGAGAUUUAUAAAGAGCCCUGCCUUACUUGAGAUAAGGCUCUGUCCCAUCUCACUACAUGUGAAAAUGGCUAUAAAAAAAAAGUAAGCCAGAUUUCAGUACAGUUAAAGUUGUGUCCAAAAGUAGGUUUUUGCCAAGAUUACUAGGAUCUCAAACAGGAAAUUAUGAUAUAUAACCCUGCCAGAAUUCAAGGUAGCUAUUAUAUAAGCUAAAUAUGUUUUUACCCUAGUUAGUUUUGUUUUGUAGUUUGCUUAUAGAUGGUUUAAGGAUUGCCUAUUAAUAUUCUAAAGAGGUAUUGCUUUAAGAACACAACCUGGGUCAACAUAAGAUAAAGAGUUAUCACCUACAGGAUAGAGAGAUAGACAUUAAAGCCCAGUGCUCUUAAUAUAAGGCUGUUAACUUAUUUGCUGGAUGUUUAAGAUCAAGUUUUUAAAAUUAGUUAAAUUAAAAGGGCCAAGAAAACCAAUAUUUGGCUCUUGCCCUCUGAGUCAGUCUGAAUCAGGGAAUAGGGGACUUCUCCAAAGGGCUCAGCAACUCUAGGCCACAUAACCUCCUGAGCAGGGAGAUUAAUGAGACCAGUGGAGGACAGAAAGCCAAAUGGUGCAUUUGCUGUAAAGAGGAGAGUCAUUAAAAAAGGGAGACAUCCCUGAUGCUUCUGAGGGAAGCCAUAUGGUCAAACAAGGCCUGGACCCAUCCUAGCGCAAAUGGCACUAGCAGAACUGAAAAGCUGCUAUGAAGUUCCCGAGGACUCCCAGGAUAACUCAGCUGACUGUAAACAAUAGGUAGAAACAAAAGUCAGUUUGACUUGCUUCAUCUUAAACACUUAGCAAAGACAGUCAAAGCCAAAGCACAGCUGUUCCUGGACAUCUUAAAUGAUAAUAAUAAUUAAAUGUAACUUCCAUAAAUAAAUAGACUGGAGGCUACAAGAGAGAUUCUUAGACAGAAAUGCCUGAUAACUGUCAAAGGAACUACUAGAAUAGUUUUAGUCUAAGGCUUUUAUUUCUAGACAACACAGGUAGACUUGAUGUUUGCUAAUAUGGUUAUCCAGCCCUAAGUAGCAGAAUUAAAGAUUUCUCUAUUAGACACAGAGGAAAAACAAAAGGCUCUUUUGGAAGCUCGCAAAAAUGUGCCAGGGGACGACGGGCGCCCCACCCAACUCACAAAUUUGAUUAACGAAGCUUUUCCUUUAACCCGGCCAAACUGGGACUAUGCGACUGAAGCAGACUCAUUUGCAUGCUUUGCAAUUGGUCCAGAACGAGGUCUGGAAGCCUCUAGCCGCAGCAUACAAAGAGGAACUUAAAACCCCCUUGCUGCCACAUCCCUUCAAGGUCGGAGAUACCGUCUGGGUACGCAGGCACCAGAGCAGGAACCUCGAACCGCGGUGGAAAGGACCCUACACUAUCCUGCUGACCACUCCUACUGCACUCAAAGUGGACGGCAUCGCUGCUUAGAUCCAUGCUUCCCACGUGAAGACUGCACAUCCACAGGAGUCCGCAGACACCUCUCCGGAUCCAGAAUGAAAGUUGCAACGUACCCAAAAUCCGCUAAAGAUAAGACUCACUCGCUGUUAAUUUUUCUUGCUUUGUGCUGUGUCUUCCCCAUAUCAGUUAACCCCAACCAAUCUGUGAGCCAGACAUGACAAGUAUUAUCGGGGACAAGAAAUAUAAUUUAAAAAAAAAAAAAAAAACAUCCGCAAAAUACCCCCUUUGGGCUUGAUGGCCUACCCUAGGGCCUGAAAACUAAGUCGCAGGCACAAAAAUGUGGGCAACAUAAAAGUUACUAUUGUAAGUCUUGGGGAUAUAAAACUACGGGGGAUGCAUAGUAGAAGCCAAGCUCAUCUUAAGAUUUAAUUCAAAUAAAAAAAAAAAAACAAAACAAAACAGGAUCCCCCACUUUCUGCCGACUCUUGCAGGAGCCUGAAAUGGUACGGGGCAGGGCCAUGUACCGCAUUUGCCUGCAACCCCUUAAACAUUACCUUUACUCAGGCAGGCAAAGCAUCAAAAGAUUGGAUAAAAAAAAAAAACAAUGGGGCCUGAGAGUAUAUCAUAAAACUGCCUAUGACCCUGGGGUCCUAUUCAAAAUUAGAUUAAUAGUAAAUACCAACCCCCAACCAGUAUGCUGAGCCGUCAGCUGAAAUAAUGCUGGAAUCCGAGCAGAUGGGUCAAUGGAUAUAAGAUUAUAUCCAUGAUAUAAAAAAAGGGGGGAAUGAAGGACCCCAAGGCCCCAGGCCCAACAUUAGGAAAACUAACCCCUGUGCCCUGAAGCUGCAAGAUGUUCCCUUACCCAACCCCCAUGUCAAAACCCCACCAGCUGCACGUAGCACUUCAAGUCUCGCACAAUGUUACCACAAGAUGUUCCAUAUAGAUAACCCCGGAAGGGCCAAACUUGAGCAAACAGGGUAAAAACAGGAACUAAAAGGACAGGAUGCAAUUUUAUGGUUUUUCUGAGAACUAAAGUGGGAAAACAAGUUUACCCCCCUAGGUGACUCAACUGCUGAAUUCAGAGGGACCAAUAGGAAGGCUGUUGCUGUGCUAAGCUAAGACCUAACCCACCUGUUCCCUAUAAAAGAUCUAUACCCCAAAGCCCGGUGUGCCAGUUCACCGAAGCUCCGGCUGAGGUUUUGCUGUGCACCCGCAGGCGCCUGUGUGAGAAUAAACGCCUCCUGCUUUUUGCA